UGUCAAGGCCUGGCGCUUGAAUGAUGAGCCCGUGUCCUGAUUAGCUAGUUGGCGGGGUAUGGCCCACCAAGGCUUCGAUCGGUAGCCGGGCCUGAGAGGGCGGACGGCCACACUUGGAACUGAGCACACGGUCCAGACUCAUACGGGAGGCAGCAGUGGGGAAUUUCUCGCAAUGGGCGCAAGCCUGAACGACGCAACGCCGCGUGGAAGGAUGAAGACCUUCGGGUCGUAAAACUCCUUUCCGAUCGAGAACGAAUGGCCUCCCGGGUUAAACAGC
rnacentral:rRNA from 1 species